rnacentral:rRNA from 1 species
GACGAACGCUGGCGGCGUGCUUAACACAUGCAAGUCGAACGGUGAAGGGACCGGUUUUUGCUGGUUCUGGAUGAGUGGCGAACGGGUGAGUAACACGUGAGUAACCUGCCCCCUUCUUCUGGAUAACCGCAUGAAAGCGUGGCUAAUACGGGAUAUUCUGCGCCUGCUGCAUGGUGGGUGUGGGAAAGAUAUUGUUUCGGUGGGGGAUGGGCUCGCGGCCUAUCAGCUUGUUGGUGGGGUGAUGGCCUACCAAGGCGGUGACGGGUAGCCGGCCUGAGAGGGUGGACGGUCACACUGGGACUGAGACACGGCCCAGACUCCUACGGGAGGCAGCAGUGGGGAAUAUUGCACAAUGGGCGCAAGCCUGAUGCAGCGACGCCGCGUGAGGGAUGGAGGCCUGCGGGUUGUAAACCUCUUUCGCCAGUGAAGCAGGCCUGUCCCUUUUGUGGGUGGGUUGACAGUAGCUGGAUAAGAAGCGCCGGCUAACUACGUG